GGAGCCGGCUCCGGCCUCAGCUGGCCCAGAGAGGGGCUCCCUCAGUGCAGUGGCGAGCUGAAGGGCUCCUCAAGGGCGGCUGGAGUGGACGCUGAGGCCGAGGAGACGCCAAGAGCAAACGAGGGCUGCUAGUACAUUGUCACCUCUCACUGGUAACUACAGUUGCUGUCAGUUUAACUGAUGCAAGAGAAGAUAAGGAAGACAAGAUCUCAACCACUUUCAGCAAAGCUUUGCGGAGAAUGCAACAUCCUUCAAGACACCAUGAAGCUCCACGCAUCUGGUCAUCUUGUUUCUUCAGGGAAUAAAUUUAUUGUUCUCUGCUUCAGAACUCUUCACCACCUUUGACUUGGCCUAGUGGUUAAUGAGCUGAGUUCUGAGCAGCUUUUGGGAUUUCCAGGGAGAUUCCUCAAGGACUUCUCCUCAUUUUAGCAAGGGCAGGCACACUUGGCCAGUAAAGAAAAUCCCCCCAGCAGAGAAUUGCAGAUACUCACAGCAAGAAGCCUUUCUUGUGAAUGGAGGAUGGAUGUGGAGCUGGUCCGAGCAGUCUGCCUACUGCAUCUGCUAUGACACCCAGCAAACUGGAAGGGAAAAGCAGUUACAAAGUUUCCAACCAGCACAAAUUCCAUAGUCAGGUUUUCCACAUGUGGGGAAAUGACAGGGGUCAGCACAUCCAACGUGCAAUGGACAAGCCUUGCACUGGGUAAACCACGUUCAUGGUCAUGGAAUCUCAUUUACCAGGCUCCACUGAAAUGAAUGAAACCUGAAAUGGUAGAGAAAACUGCAUAGAAGAGGUGAGAUUUGAUCUGGGGCCUGAUGGAAGAGGCAAGAUUGGAGAGGAUAAAGGGUUGAGUGGAUAACAUAAGUCACAGCACAGAAAUGAGAAUAUGCUCAGUUUUGCAGAGAAGCAAUGCCUAACUAGAGUACAAGUGCAUAUUGAAGCCAUGGGAAAUUAUACUGGGUGAAGAUGGUGGAUAAAGAGAUGUCAGAGGAGUGUAAACAUGAAGCAGCAGAACAUAGGGAAUGGCUGAGCACAGGGAAUAAAAGAAUUAAAAUUGGGUUUGGAGAGAUUAGUUGGUCAAGGUUAUGCAAGACACACUGGAAGGGUGGAGACUGGCAUCAAGCCAGUUAACUAGGGCAUUGCUGUAGUGUUCCUUCCAUGAGACAGCAAGGACUUGGGCCAGGACAUGUGUGUCAGUGCAUAUGGUGAGACAGGAUGAAAGCUUUUCAAGGAAGAAAAAUACCUGGCUUGAGCAUGCUGGGCUAGAGAUGAUGGUAGGACUUCUUGUCUAGCAGGAGUUUGAAGGUAUGAGGCUGGAGCUUAGGGGAGAGGGCAGCAGGGAGAAACAGACUGACACAGAAGGGAGAGCCAAUGGCAUAGAAGUUACAACUGAAACUGAGAAUGGAAGAGAUUUCAGAAAGAAAGAAUGUGAAGGGAAGGACAGAGAAAUGUGAGUUGGGAAGCACCCACAUUUAGGACAUAGGAUGAGUAAGAUGAGCAAGCGCAAGAGGGAACACCCGGUCUGGAGUGUGAGACUCAGAGUGUGGCCAGAGAACCAAGGGAGCAGAGUGCUAAGGAGGAGGAUGUCACCACUAGGGCAGGAAGAAGCUGGAUGAUCCAGAAGGUGAGGUCCUUUAGGAGAAGAGUUUCAAUGGCAAUCUGGGACUGGAAACGGGAUCACAUGGAUGAAGGAGGAGCAGCAAGGCGAUGGGCCAGUGGUCACAUCAAAUAGUGAAGCAGUUAUGAUGACAGGCUCUGAUGGUCACAGUACCUGAAUCCUGGUUCCACCCAAACUGUACAACUUAACGAGUAGAAGUGUAUCUAAGUCCCAGUGCACUGGGUUGAAUAUGGUCCCCCAAAUUCAUGUCCUUCCCAGAUCAGAAUGUGACCUUCUUUCGCAGUAGGGUCAUUACAGACAUAACUAGUUAAAAUGAGGUUAUAAUGGAGAAGGGUGGCUCCAUAAUCCAAUAUGACUGGUGUCCUUAUAAGAAGAGGAGAGAGACACAGAGAGAGACAUGCACAGGGAAGACACCCAGCGUGAUGACAGAGGUAGAGACUGAGGUUAUGCAGUUGCAAGCCAAGGAACGCUAAGGACUGCCGGCAACACCAGAAACUAAGAAAAAGGCACAGAACAGAGUCUCCCUUGAGGCUUCAGAAGGGGCUUGCCAACACCUUGAUUUUGGACUACCAGCCUCUAGGUCUAUGAGAAAAUAAAUUUCUGCUAUUGUAAGCCACCAGUUUAUAGUAUUUUAUUAUGGCAGCAUCAGGAAACUAAUAUACUCAUCCUUAAAGUGAGGAGAAUAACACUUUGCUCAUAGGGAGGAUUAAUAUAACAUGAAAAAUGCUUAACACAGUGUCUGCCCCAUAGAAAGAACUCAGUUAAAGCCAGGUGCGGUGGCUCACACCUGUAAUCCCAACCACUAGGAAGGCUGAGGCAGGAAGAUUGCUUGAGGCCAGGAGUUCGAGACCAGCCUGGGCAACAGAGCGGGACCCCAUCGCUAGGGGAAAAAAACGGAACUCAGUUAAAUGUUGGCAAUAUACUGUGUUAUUCUUUGAAGAAUUUUUAUUGUAAGGGAAAGGAAAAAGUGAUCUUAGAUGAGUCAGGUAAACAAUAAAGUGAAUGUUGUUUUCAAUUUUGUUUCUCUUUUAAUAGGAGUUAUUUGUGUAUAUUUAAACACAGAAAAUAAAUAAGAUCUCCAAGGAGAGGAAAAUAGCUAAAGAAUUGGGAGAUGAUAUGAUAUCUUCAUCGAAGACCAAAUCUGGUGCAAAUGAAAGAUUUCAAGAGAUGUGACUGUAAAGUAAAAUAUUUUUAGUUAUGUAGUAUUUUACUUUAUAGUCACAUUUGUAUCAUUUAUAAUUCCCAGUUGAUAUUACCCUUCAGAGAAGACACUCUGGAAGGUAUGACUCUUAUUCUAAUGUUGUUACCAUUAGCUCAAAUACUUUUGAAUUUUCUUCAAAACCAGGUUAUGAAUUACUCAGACAAAAGUUUUACCUCUUAAGAUACACCUCAGUUUUGAUCAAAAUAAAUAUUUCCCAGGCUGGUCACUUAACUGACACAACACCAAACAACUUCUGACUAUAUCCAAACACCAAAUCUACCCUCACAUUAUACACAUUAGCACCAUUGAGGGCUUUUUUAAAAAUGGGCCAAAUAUUUAUCAAAGCUGUUUUUAAAUACCUAAAUAUGAAAAACAAAAUUCUGAUUUUAAAUGGAAAAUCAACCUUGUUGGCUUAAAUUCCCAAUGACUUCAAACCAGGCAAGCUUUUCAAUAUAAGUUUUUUGAAGUUAUGUAUUAUACAUAAAUCUUUUCACAGUCAUUAAUAGCCCUAACAGGCUACUGUGACUGGAUCAAAAAUAAAACUUCCAAGGGGUGUAUUUCUAUUUCAAGGGGUGGAUGUCUACUCAGUAAUUUCAAAGUAAGUGAUCAAUUUAAACCCAUAGAUUUAUUAUUUUCAUUCUCAUGUCUUAGACCUCAGUAUAUAUGAGAAGGAAAUGGCCUUGCUUUUCAAAGGUUUACAAAGAAUAGAAAGGAAUAAACAAUAAUUUGAAAAUGCUUAAUUAUCUAUUCACACCAUGUUCAAACUUUCAGAAGGGAAGGAAGGUGGGCAAAGGGCAAAAGGGCCUUUUUGUCUUCUCUUUAAGUAACUUUUCCAGAGGUUCCAGAGAAAGAGAGAAGAAGGUCAUUAACAAAGUCACAAUGAGAUCUUUCAUUUUUUUUUUUUAAACUUUGGUAAGAACCUAAGACCUGCCCUCUUAGCAAUGAGAUCCUUUAAAUGGGCCUCUCCUUACACAUGGACCAGGAAUUUGUCAGGGCCUAAUCUUCACCUUGGAGUCAAUUAAAUUCUUUAUUCAUCCUUCUACUGUACUUCACGCAUUGUGUUUUUACAAUAAAAUACUAAACUGCACUUUGGAAGUUGAAAAUCCAGGAUGAAUAUAAGAAAGUUGAAACUAAAGGGGAAGAUCCCUUGGCAGCCAGACUCAGAAGCAAGCAGCCCUCUUUGGUUGCAGGGAGGAAGUCACAUUUUGUGGUGCAACUUGUUGGCUUACGUGCAACCCUUGGCCUAAUUUUGAAAGAUGACAUCUAGUCAGCCAUUGCCUAACUCAGUGUCUUACUCAAGAGAUGUUUGUUAAUUUGAUUUUUACAACUGUCUUAAAUUCCUUUGGUCAUCUGGAAAGAUGAAGAAACUAAAAUAGUUGACAGGCUGCUCUAGCUGAUACAAGCAUUUUUCAAACUGAAAAUUAGGUGACAUGACCAUGGCUAUGAGGAAGGCCAUUCAUCUUAUUCUAUUUGUAUAAUUCCCUAAGCAUUUGUGCAAUAUAUAUAUCA
rnacentral:lncRNA from 1 species